AACGAACGCUGGCGGCAUGCCUAACACAUGCAAGUCGAACGAAGGCUUCGGCCUUAGUGGCGCACGGGUGCGUAACGCGUGGGAAUCUGCCCUUUGCUUCGGAAUAACAGUUAGAAAUGCCUGCUAAUACCGGAUGAUGUCGCAAGACCAAAGAUUUAUCGGCAAAGGAUGAGCCCGCGUAGGAUUAGCUAGUUGGUGGGGUAAAGGCCUACCAAGGCGACGAUCCUUAGCUGGUCUGAGAGGAUGAUCAGCCACACUGGGACUGAGACACGGCCCAGACUCCUACGGGAAGGAGCAGUGGGUGAUAUUGGACAACGGGCGAAGGCCUGAUCCAGCAAUGCCGGGUGAGUGAUGAAGGCCGUAGGGUUGUAAAGCUAUUUUACCCGGGAUGAUAAUGACGGUACCGGGAGAAUAAGCUCCGGCUAACUCCGUG
rnacentral:rRNA from 1 species